rnacentral:rRNA from 1 species
GACGAACGCUGGCGGCGUGCUUAACACAUGCAAGUCGUACGGUAAGGCCCUUUCGGGGGUACACGAGUGGCGAACGGGUGAGUAACACGUGAGUAACCUGCCCACAACUUUGGGAUAACGCUAGGAAACUGGUGCUAAUACUGGAUAUGUGCUCCUGCUGCAUGGUGGGGGUUGGAAAGCUCCGGCGGUUGUGGAUGGACUCGCGGCCUAUCAGCUUGUUGGUGGGGUAGUGGCCUACCAAGGCGGCGACGGGUAGCCGGCCUGAGAGGGUGACCGGCCACAUUGGGACUGAGAUACGGCCCAGACUCCUACGGGAGGCAGCAGGGGGGAAUAUUGCACAAUGGGCGCAAGCCGGAUGCAGCAACGCCGCGUGCGGGAGGACGGCCUUCGGGUUGGAAACCGCUUUCAGCAGGGACGAAGCUUUUUGUGACGGUACCUGCAGAAGAAGCACCGGCUAACUACGUG